rnacentral:rRNA from 1 species
GCAGUUCGAACGAUGAAGCCCAGCUUGCUGGGUGGAUUAGUGGCGAACGGGUGAGUAACACGUGAGUAACCUGCCCUUGACUCUGGGAUAAGCACUGGAAACGGUGUCUAAUACCGGAUAUUUCAACUGGCCGCAUGGUCUGGUUGUGGAAAGAAUUUUGGUCAAGGAUGGACUCGCGGCCUAUCAGGUAGUUGGUGAGGUAAUGGCUCACCAAGCCUACGACGGGUAGCCGGCCUGAGAGGGUGACCGGCCACACUGGGACUGAGACACGGCCCAGACUCCUACGGGAGGCAGCAGUGGGGAAUAUUGCACAAUGGGCGAAAGCCUGAUGCAGCAACGCCGCGUGAGGGACGACGGCCUUCGGGUUGUAAACCUCUUUUAGUAGGGAAGAAGCGAAAGUGACGGUACCUGCAGAAAAAGCACCGGCUAACUACGUGCCAGCAGCCGCGGUAAUACGUAGGGUGCAAGCGUUGUCCGGAAUUAUUGGGCGUAAAGAGCUCGUAGGCGGUUUGUCGCGUCUGCUGUGAAAACUGGAGGCUCAACCUCCAGCCUGCAGUGGGUACGGGCAGACUAGAGUGCGGUAGGGGAGAUUGGAAUUCCUGGUGUAGCGGUGGAAUGCGCAGAUAUCAGGAGGAACACCGAUGGCGAANGCAGAUCUCUGGGCCGUAACUGACGCUGAGGAGCGAAAGCAUGGGGAGCGAACAGGAUUAGAUACCCUGGUAGUCCAUGCCGUAAACGUUGGGAACUAGAUGUGGGGGCCAUUC